rnacentral:rRNA from 1 species
GAUUUGAUCAUGGCUCAGAUUGAACGCUGGCGGCAUGCCUUACACAUGCAAGUCGAACGGCAGCACGGGAGCUUGCUCCUGGUGGCGAGUGGCGAACGGGUGAGUAAUGCAUCGGAACGUAUCCUGGAGUGGGGGAUAACGUAGCGAAAGUUACGCUAAUACCGCAUAUUCUGUGAGCAGGAAAGCGGGGGACCUUCGGGCCUCGCGCUCUUGGAGCGGCCGAUGUCGGAUUAGCUAGUUGGUGAGGUAAAGGCUCACCAAGGCGACGAUCCGUAGCAGGUCUGAGGGGAUGAUCUGCCACACUGGAACUGAGACACGGUCCAGACUCCUACGGGAGGCAGCAGUGGGGAAUCUUGGACAAUGGGGGCAACCCGUGAUCCAGCCAUGCCGCGUGAGUGAAGAAGGCCU